CGUGAUUGGUUACCUUGAAUAUCCUAUAACUCGGAAGCUAUCGGUUGCAGAAGUGUUUGGCAAAGGACUUUUCGUUUCAGAAUUUCUCGAACAAUCUGUCCACAAAAUCUGAUCCGGUCAACCUGAAUCCACCUUUAUAAAUGAAACAUUCAUCUAAAAUAUAGUAUAGUGAAGCCUUGUUUAUGCAUUUACCUCUUACCGAAACAUUUCUCUGACUUAUAUUUCAUAACAGCUAUAUUUCUUGGCAAAUGAGUAUGGUGUCACUGUCAUAAUAUCUCGUUCACAGCACCAACACGGAAACUUCAUACACACAUAUGUAUAUUAUGAUUUUCGUCUUACCUGCAAUUGCACAAGUAUUGUGACCUUCAUCCAGAAAUUUUAUGCAGAUAGUAGUAGGGUAUCCCUCCAAUCAGCACCCUCGAAGCUUCCUCAGCAAUUAUCUGGAAAGUAAAUAAAGAUAAAAAAAAGUGUGCCAUCUAUUGAAU
rnacentral:misc_RNA from 1 species